AGCCCCCCGAGUGGUGGGGAUGAUUAUUUGGCCUAAAGCGUCCGUAGCCAGCUCGGUAAAUCUCUCGUUAAAUCCAGCGUCCUAAGCGUUGGGCUGCGAGGGAAACUGCCGAACUAGAGGGUGGGAGAGGUCAGCGGUAUUCCUGGGGUAGGGGCGAAAUCCAUUGAUCCCAGGAGGACCACCAGUGGCGAAGGCUGCUGACUAGAACACGCCUGACGGUGAGGGACGAAAGCUGGGGUAGCGAAUCGGAUUAGAGACCCGUGUAGUCC
rnacentral:rRNA from 1 species